GACGAACGCCGGCGGCGUGCUUAACACAUGCAAGUCGAACGGAAAGGCCUCUUUCUGGGGGUACUCGAGUGGCGAACGGGAGAGUAACACCUGAGUAACCUGCCCUUGACUUUGGGAUAACUUCAGGAAACUGGGGCUAAUACCGGAUAGGAGCUCCUGCUGCAUGGUGGGGGUUGGAAAGUUUCGGCGGUCGGGGAUGGACUCGCGGCUUAUCAGGUUGUUGGUGGGGUAGUGGCUUACCAAGGCUUUGACGGGUAGCCGGCCUGAGAGGGUGACCGGCCAAAAUGGGACUGAGAUACGGCCCAGACUCCUACGGAAGGCAGCAGGGGGGAAUAUUGAACAAGGGGUGGAAGCCUGAUGCAGCAACGCCGGGUGCGGGAUGACGGUCUUCGGGUUGUAAACCGAUUUCGCUCAUGACGAAGCUUUGUGUGACGGUAGUGGGUAAAGAAGAACCGGCUAACUACGUG
rnacentral:rRNA from 1 species